AGCUGUUAUUUUCUUCUCUAGAAAGUCCGACAUCCAAGAUUCACAAAGUCAGUUCAGGCCAGGCAAGAACCCAUGACAAACACAGAGGCAAAAGAUGGUGUUUCGAAACCAGGAACUAGCACCUUCUUUGAGGACAAUAAUUCUAAUAAUGAAAAUGAAGAUGCGGUUACAACCUUUUCCCAACCAUCAACCAAAGUUCCAGGCUUUUCUCAUCCUGCCUUCCCAGCACCGGAACCUCUCGCGUCUUCAGCGGUCCUUGGUGUUACAGAGG